UACGUAGGGUGCGAGCGUUAUCCGGAAUUAUUGGGCGUAAAGAGCUCGUAGGCGGUUUGUCGCGUCUGCUGUGAAAACCCGAGGCUCAACCUCGGGCCUGCAGUGGGUACGGGCAGACUAGAGUGCGGUAGGGGAGAUUGGAAUUCCUGGUGUAGCGGUGGAAUGCGCAGAUAUCAGGAGGAACACCGAUGGCGAAGGCAGCUGCCUGGCCUGACACUGACGCUGAGGUGCGAAAGCGUGGGGAGCGAACGGG
rnacentral:rRNA from 1 species